GAUGAAGAACGUAGUGAAAUGCGAUAAGUAAUGUGAAUUGCAGAAUUCAGUGAAUCAUCGAAUCUUUGAACGCACAUUGCGCCCCUUGGUAUUCCGAGGGGCAUGCCUGUUCGAGCGUCAUUAUAACCCCUCAAGCUCAGCUUGGUGUUGGGGCCUGCUGCACUGGCAGCCCUUAAAAUCAGUGGCGGCGCCAUCUGGCUCUAAGCGUAGUAAUUCUUCUCGCUAUGGAGUCCCGGUGGAUGCUUGCCAUCAACCCCCAAUUUUUCUAUGGUUGACCUCGGAUCAGGUAGGGAUACCCGCUGAACUUAAGCAUAUCAAUAAGCGGAGGA
rnacentral:misc_RNA from 1 species